rnacentral:lncRNA from 1 species
GGAAACUGGAUGUUCUCCUAAAACAGCCACCUAGCCAAGCUGAACCAACAGAGAUGUAUUGAUCACCGGGUCAAUGGAACUAGGUGGGUGCUGGGGGGAAAGUCAGCAGGUAAGUCAGGUGAGGACUGCCUCCCUUCCACUCCCCACCCAGAGACUGAAGACAGACAGACAGACAGAGGCGUUCAUUCAGAAAGAAGUAGGAGGGCUUCAGGGAUUCAGCGGAGGAGACUGAAAGCCUGAGAGACGAUGCCUCUGAGAAGGUUACAGGAACCUGACAAGACUGACUAGCCAUCUCUAGCAUUCAGAUAGGUGGAACUUCAUUGUGCUGAAGUUAUGUUUGAGCACCCUCUGCUGGACAAAUCAGAUGCUCUAUGACUACCAACAAUGUACCAGUGGUAUUCGUCUCUUGCAGAUCUGGAAGAAAAUGAAAUUUAGAUGUGAGCGAGCAGUCUCCUUCCUGCUGCUGCAGCUGCAAGCUGCUCCUGCCGCCCAUGCCUUCUCUACUGCCAUGCCUUCCCUACCACAAGGGCCAGAACUCUCACACUGAAAGCCAGAAUAAAUCCUUCCUCUCUUCGGUUGGUUGUUGUCAGGAGAAGGCAGCAGCUGGCAUCAAUGGUGUGGUGAGGAGAGAAUCAAGUUUCCUUCUCCAGUUCAAACAGACGAAAGUGAAGCGACAUAGGCUCAAGGACAGGGUCACUGGGCUAGCGCCACACCAUGGAGCCAAACCCCGAGCCUUCUAAAUUGUGAGCUGGGCAUGGUGGUUCACCCCAGGAAUCGCAGCACUGAGGGAUGAAGGCGAGAGAGUCACUGUGGGUGUGACAUCAGUCUGGCCUGAAGUCUGAGACUGUUUUUUUAAAAAGAAAACAUUUUUUUAUGUCAUAUAUUUAAUUAUAUAAAGAUUCUGUUGUUUUGUUGUUGUUGUUGUUAAAAUUCAGCCAGGAAAUUUCCAUCUGUCUGGUGUUAAUUGGUUGUUUUUCAGCACUAAUUGGGAAAUGAUAUAUUUUUAUUGUUUUAUAAAUAGAGUAAAACCCCUCAGAAACUGCUGGGGAAAUUUAAACAAGGAAAGCAAUUCUAUGUCCUUGCUUGACACCAGUUUGUCCCAGAGGUGACACAACUGUGUAGUUUUUGAAAACACUGGGCAUUUAUAUAUAUAUGAGACAAAACCCCACUGUAUAGCCCUGGCUAACUCGAAACUCACUAUGUAAAUCAGGCUGGGCUUUGACACACAGAGCUCUGCCUUUGCCUACUCAGUGUUGGGAUUUAACACCCACACCACCAUAGCCAGCCUUCUCUCCAAGGGGCAAAUUUCUUUCUGAAGCAACUUCCUCAUUUAUUAACAGUAUUGCUUCCAGACCCCGUGUGUGUGUGUGUGUGUGUGUGUGUGUGUGUGUGUGUGUGUACAGAUAUGUGUUUGCAAGUAUUUAGACACAAGUUGAUGCAGACUACACCAGUUUCAUGAAAUUGUUCCCAUGUCAGUGGCUAGUCUGAGCCUUUUGUACUUGUAAACAGCUGGCUGUAAACUGGGGAUUCCCAUACUCUCCUCUUCAGCCCCAUAAUUAUCAUGGUGAUUUGCAACCUGUAGGUAAUGACCCGUUUGGCUCAUAUAUCAGAUAUUCUGCAUGUCAGAUAUUUAUAUUUUGAUUCAUAACAAUAGUAAAAUUAUAGUUAUGAAGUAGUAAUGUAAAUAGUUACACUGUGGGGGUCACCACAACACGAGGAACUGUGUUAAAUGGCUUCAGCAAUAGGAAGGUUGAGAGCCACUGAUUUAUUAGGUCAUUUCAUGGAUCGUGGGGAUGCUUUCUACUUUCAUCUAUUGUUUAUUACAAAAGAUGUAGACAGACAGAUAGAUAGACAGACUCACAGAUAAAUAGAAAAAUAGAUGACAGAAAGAUAGAAAGUUAGGUAAAAAGAUAAAAAGAUAGGUAGAUGCUAGAAAGAUAGAUAGACUCAAAGACAAAUAGAAAGAUAGAUAAUAGAGAAAGGUGGAAAGAAAAAUAGAUAGAUGAUGGAAAGAUAGGUAGAUAGACUGACAGAAUGA